AAUUCGCCCUUAGAGUUUGAUCCUGGCUCAGAUUGAACGCUGGCGGCAUGCCUUACACAUGCAAGUCGAACGGUAACGCGGGGCAGCCUGGCGACGAGUGGCGAACGGGUGAGUAAUAUAUCGGAACGUGCCCAGUCGUGGGGGAUAACUGCUCGAAAGAGCAGCUAAUACCGCAUACGACCUGAGGGUGAAAGCGGGGGAUCUUCGGACCUCGCGCGAUUGGAGCGGCCGAUAUCAGAUUAGGUAGUUGGUGGGGUAAAGGCCUACCAAGCCGACGAUCUGUAGCUGGUCUGAGAGGACGACCAGCCACACUGGGACUGAGACACGGCCCAGACUCCUACGGGAGGCAGCAGUGGGGAAUUUUGGACAAUGGGGGCAACCCUGAUCCAGCCAUGCCGCGUGCGGGAAGAAGGCCUUCGGGUUGUAAACCGCUUUUGUCAGGGAAGAAAUCCUUUGGGCUAAUAACUCGGAGGGAUGACGGUAC
rnacentral:rRNA from 1 species